UGGGGAAUAUUGCACAAUGGGCGCAAGCCUGAUGCAGCCAUGCCGCGUGUGUGAAGAAGGCCUUCGGGUUGUAAAGCACUUUCAGCGAGGAGGAAGGUGGUGAACUUAAUACGUUCAUCAAUUGACGUUACUCGCAGAAGAAGCACCGGCUAACUCCGUGCCAGCAGCCGCGGUAAUACGGAGGGUGCAAGCGUUAAUCGGAAUUACUGGGCGUAAAGCGCACGCAGGCGGUUUGUUAAGUCAGAUGUGAAAUCCCCGGGCUCAACCUGGGAACUGCAUUUGAAACUGGCAAGCUAGAGUCUCGUAGAGGGGGGUAGAAUUCCAGGUGUAGCGGUGAAAUGCGUAGAGAUCUGGAGGAAUACCGGUGGCGAAGGCGGCCCCCUGGACGAAGACUGACGCUCAGGUGCGAAAGCGUGGGGAGCAAAACAGGAUUAGAUACCCUGGUAGUCCACGCUGUAAACGAUGUCGAUUUUGGAGGUUGUGCCCUUGAGGCGUGGCUUCCGGAGCUAACGCGUUAAAUCGACCGCCUGGGGAGUACGGCCGCAAGGUUAAAACUCAAAGGAAUUGACGGGGUCAUAGCUGUUUCCU
rnacentral:rRNA from 1 species